UGAGGGAUCCCUGUCCUCACAUUUGGGUUCCUUGUGCCCAUAUUGGGGUCCCUGUCCCCAUUUUGGGGGUUUUGUCCCAAUACUGGGGUCUUCCUGUUCCUAUGUCCCUAUAUAGGAACAUGCAAGGGGUUCCUCUCCCCAUAUCAGGGUUCUGUCCCCAUAUAGGGACACUUUGGAGGAUCCUUGUCCUCACAUUUGGGUUCCUUGUGCCCAUAUUGGGGGUCUCUGGCCACACAUGGGGGGGUCUUUGUCCCCAUAGUGGGCUUUUCCUGUCCCCAUGUCCCCAUAUAGGGAUACUUUGUGGGAUUUCUGUCCUCACAUUUGGGUUCCUUAUGCUCAUAUUGGGGUCCCUGUCCCCAUUUUGGGGGUCUCAUCCCCACAAUGGGGUCUGCGUGUCCUAUGUAGGGAAAUGCAAGGGGUCCCUGUCCCCAUAUCAGGUUCCUGUCCCCAUGUCCCUAUACUGGGGUAUUCCUGUCCCCACACCCCAAUAUAGGGACACUCUGGGGGGGUCCAUAUCCUCAUACUGGGGGUCCUGUCCCCAUAAGUGGGAUCUUCCUGUCCCCAUGUCCCCAUAUAGGACACUUUGGGGGUCCCUAUCCCCAUACUGGGUGUCCUUUCCCCAUACUGGGAUCUUCCUGUCCCCAUAUAGGACACUUUGGGGGUCCCUAUCCCCAUACUGGGGGUCAUAUCUCCACAUUGGGGGACCCUGUCCCCAUAUUGGGAGUCUUUGUGCCCAUGUGAGGGGGUCCUGGCCCCAUAUCAGAGAUCCUGUCCCCAUACUGAGGGUCCUUGCACUCAUGAAUGGGGGUCCUGGCCCCAUAUAGGGCCGUGCUGUGGGUUCCUGGCCCCAUAUGGGGGUGUCCUGUCCCCAUAUCCCCAUAUAGGGACACUUUGGAGAUCCCUGUCCCCAUACUGGUGGUCCUGUCCCCAUAUUGAGGUCUUCCUGUCCUCAUGUCCCCAUAUAGGGACGCUUUGGGGGAUCCCUGUCCUCACAUUUGAGUUCCUUGUGCCCAUAUUGGGGGUCCCUGUCCCCAUAAUAGGGUUUUCCUGUCCCUAUGUCCCCAUAUAGGGACACUCUGGGGGUCCCUGUCCCCAUACUGGUGGUCCUGUCCCCAUAUUGAGGUCUUCCUGUCCUCAUGUCCCCAUAUAGGGACGCUUUGGGGGAUCCCUGUCCUCACAUUCGAGUUCCUUGUGCCCAUAUUGGAGGUCCCUGUCCCCAUAAUGGGGUUUUCCUGUCCCUAUGUCCCCAUAUAGGGACACUCUGGGGGUCCCUGUCCCCAUACUGGUGGUCCUGUCCCCAUAUUGAGGUCUUCCUGUCCCCAUGUCCCCAUAUAGGGACGCUUUGGGGGAUCCCUGUCCUCACAUUUGAGUUCCUUGUGCCCAUAUUGGGGGUCCCUGUCCCCAUAUUGGGGUUUUCCUGUCCCUAUGUCCCCAUAUAGGGAUACUCUGGGGGUCCCUGUCCCCAUAUUGGGGUCCUGUCCCCAUAGUGGGCUCUUCCUGUCCCCAUGUCCCCAUAUAGGGAUGCUUUGGGGGAUCCCUCUUCUCACAUUUGGGUUCCUUAUGCUCAUAUUGGGGGUCCCUGUCCCCAUUUUGGGGGUCCCUGUCCCCAUAUUGGGGCCUUCCUGUCCCGAUGUCCCCAUAUAGGGACACUCUGGGGGUCUCUGUCCCCGUAUCGGGGUCCCUGUCCCCCUGUCGCCAUAUUGGGGCACACGGAAGCUCUCUGUCCCUACAUCCCCAGCUCUCUCAUUUUGAACUGGUCACGUGAGGACGCGCCGCAACCCUAUUGGCUGUUAGCAGGCGCUGCUGCCUCCUGAUUGGCUGCAGGGCAUGGUGGGUGUGGUUUGCCAGAGCACCGCCCUACUUGUUUGCAUAACCACGCCUCCUUUUUGUGCUCUACCAUUUGAAGGUCACUUGCAUGCCCCGCCCCCUUUUCUGCACAUGGGGGCGUGGCCAAAGUCGAGUGGGCGGGGCUUUGGGGGCGUGGCGGACCUUCAGCACGUGGCAGAGCCACAGCGCACCAAAAAUGACGAGAAUAGGACCAAAAAAAGCCUUUUUAAAAUAAUUUUCCUCAGAAAAAUGAAGGUAGAGGCUGAGCAUGAAAGAUGCCGAGCCCAAAAAUACCCAAAAUUGGGCAAUUCUGGGCUGGGAUGUGCAGAAAAUGGGAAAUUGUGGGUUUGGAAUGGUGAAUAAGGGGUAAUUGUGGGUGAAAUGAUCUAAAAAUGGGGAAAUUUGAGGUAAAAAAGUGAGAAAUGGGCUGAGAAAGGCAGGGAAAUGGGAAUAGUGGGUAAAUGUGGCUGUGGAAGUGCAAAAAAUGGGGGCAAUUUUGCUUUAAAAAUCGUCAAUAUCGGGUCAGGGAGGCAACAAAAUGGGGGGUGGGGUGGAAGAAUGAGGAAAUGGGUGCAAAAAUUGGGCAAUUGUGGGCUCAGAAGGACAAAAAUGGGGAAAAAUGGGUUCAGAAGAUGAAAAAUGGACAAUUGUAGGAUCGGAAUGGCAGAAAAGGGGGAAAUAUGGGUUUGGAAGGUUAUAAAGGGGCAAAAGUGGGUUCAGAAAAGCAAAAAAUGGGUACAUGAGGGCUGGGAAGGACAGCGUUCAAUAAAUGUGAGGUUGGGAGGGCA
ensembl:lncRNA